rnacentral:lncRNA from 1 species
GGGGAGGGCUCCGGGUCCCCCCCCUUUCCCUGAGGGGCAUUUUUGGGGGGCUUCAGAUCCCCCCCCCUCCUUGGGGGGCAUUUUUGGGUAACUGCAGCCCCCCCCUAUAGAUGGCACUGCCCCAUUCGGAGCCCCCCCCGCACCCCCACCCCCCCCGGCGCCGCUUUUCCCUUUGGGUUUUCCAGUUGUGCCUUAACCGGGGAGCAGCGCUCAGUGGGACAACAGUGGGACACCAAUGGGGCACCAAUGGGACCCCCCGUGUGACACCGAGGGGACACCAAUGGGACCCCAAUGGGACACCGGGACCCCCAGUGUGACACCAAUGGGACCCCAGUGAGACCCCCUGUGUGACACCAAGGGGACACCAAUGGGACACCAACGGGACCCCAGUGAGACCCCCAGUGUGACACCAAUGGGACCCCAAUGGGACCCCCCGUGUGACUCCAAUGGGACACCAACGGGACACCAAUGGGACACCGGGACCCCCAGUGUGACACCAAUGGGACCCCAGUGAGACCCCCAGUGUGACACCGAGGGGACACCGAGGGGACACCGGGACCCCCAGUGUGACUCCAAUGGGACACCAAUGGGACACCAAUGGGACUCCAAUGGGACACCAAUGGGACCCCCAGUGUGACACCAACGGGACCCCAAUGGGACCCCCCGUGUGACACCAACGGGACACCAAUGGGACACCAAUGGGACCCCCAGUGUGACACCGAGGGGACACCAGUGGGACCCCAGUGGGACACCGGGACCCCCAGUGUGACACCGAGGGGACACCAGUGGGACCCCAGUGGGACACCGGGACCCCCAGUGUGACACCAACGGGACACCAAUGGGACACCAAUGGGACCCAAAGUGUGACACCAAUGGGACACCAAUGGGACCCCCCGUGUGACACUGAGGGGACACCAAUGGGACCCCCAGUGUGACACCGAGAAGACACCAAUGGAACACCAAUGGGACCCAAAGUGUGACACCAAUGGGACACCAAUGGGACCCCAGUGUGACUCCAAUGGGACCCCCAGUGUGACACCAAGGGGACACCAAUGGGACACCGGGACCCAAAGUGUGACACCGAGAGGACCCCCAGUGUGACACAAAGGGGACUCCAAUGGGACACCGGGACCCCCACUGUGACACCGAGGGGACACCGAGGGGACACCGGGACCCCCACUGUGACACCAAUGGGACCCCAGUGAGACCCCCAGUGUGACUCCAAUGGGACCCCAGUGAGACCCCCAGUGUGACUCCAAUGGGACACCAACGGGACACCGGGACCGCCAGUGUGAUACCAGUGGGACCCCAGUGAGACCCCCAGUGUGACACCGAGGGGACACCGAGGGGACCCCAAUGGGACCCCAGUGUGACUCCAAGGGGACACCAAUGGUUCCCCCAGUGUGACACCGAGGAGACACCAAUGGAACACCAAGAAGACACCAAUGGGACCCCCAGUGUGACACCAGUGGGACACCAAUGGGACACCAAUGGGACACCAAUGGGACACUGGGACCCAAAGUGUGACACCGAGAGGACCCCCAGUGUGACACCAAUGGGACACCAAUGGGACACUGAGGGGACACCAAUGGGACCCACAGCGCCCCAAUGUGACACUGAGGGGACAGUGGGACCCCCAGCACUUUGAGGUGACCCCAAAGGGACCCCCAAUGUGACACUGAGGGGACACCAAUGGGACCCACUGUGCCCCAAUGUGACACUGGGGGAGCAGUGGGACCCCCGGCACUCUGAUGUGACCCCGAGGGGACCCCCAGUGUGACACUGAGGGGACCCACUGUGCCUCAAUGUGACCCCGAGGGGACCCCCAAUGUGACACUGUGGGGACAGUGGGACCCCCCAGCAGUUCGCGGUGACCCCGAGGGGACCCCCAAUGUGACACUGAGGGGACAGCGGGACCCACAGCGCCCCAAUGUGACACUGGGGGGACAGUGGGACCCCCACCACUCUGAUGUGACACUGAGGGGACCCCCAGUGUGACACUGAGGGGACAGUGGGACCCCCCACCACUUCGAGGUGACCCGGAGGGGACCCCCACCACUCUGAUGUGACCCCGAGGGGACCCCCGAUGUGACACUGAGGGGACAGUGGGACCCCCAGCACUCUGAUGUGACCCCGAGUGGCCCCACACGGCUCCAUGGGACCCCACUGUGGGGCAGUGGUGGUUAUGCGGGGGGGUCGGGGGCUGCUGCCCCCCCCCACAGCCGCCCCCUGCAGAGCUGUCCCCCCCCCC